UGCCCAGAUAGCUCAGUCGGUAGAGCAGAGGACUGAAAAUCCUCGUGUCGCUGGUUCGAUUCCGGCUCUGGGCAU
rnacentral:tRNA from 8 species